rnacentral:rRNA from 1 species
CCCUUAGAUGUCCUGGGCCGCACGCGCGUUACACUGAUGCAUUCAACGAGCUUAUAACCUUGGCCGAGAGGCCUGGGCAAUCUUGUUAACGUGCAUCGUGAUAGGGAUAGAUUAUUGAAAUUAUUAAUCUUGAACGAGGAAUUCCUAGUAAACGCAGCUCAUCAAUCUGCAUUGAUUACGUCCCUGCCCUUUGUACACACCGCCCGUCGCACCUACCGAUUGGAUGGUCCGGUGAAGCCUCGGGAUUGUGGUUCUUGCCGCUUUAUUGUGGCGUGACCGCGAGAACUUGUCUAAACCUUAUCAUCUAGAGGAAGGUGAAGUCGUAACA